GGAAUUUCACAGUGCAGUUCAAAGGAAUCACGACAAUUUCUAUUAGACGACACUUAGGAAGCCGCAAAUGCGAUUUCCCUGUACCGAAGUGAUCGCGAUACUUAAGAAGCCAGGCUCCAAUUACCGGAAGCAACCACCGACCGUCCAACACGUAGUACGUACUGCCAAGGCGUCUCGACGCUCCUUCAAAAUUAUUCGGCAACGACGUCUCCGGGCGAGAAGACUUCCCGACGCUCUCUGUCCAUCGGGCAACGAGUCAAUUAGCUGCUGACCAAACGGCUCUGGCUAAUCACUGCCUUGAAUGAAUCUGUGGUCCGGGACCUCUGGGCAGGGUAGGCGGGGAACAGGGGGGGAGACGUGGAUACGGACAAGGAGUAAGGAGGUGGAUAUGUAAAAAAAAAGUGAAAGAAAAACACUCUGCCUAAAUUACGGGCAGACCAAUUAUAUUGCGUUUAAAAUUAAUUACUAGAUUAACCGAAGAUAAAUCGAUGCCUUGACGGCCGAGUAAGUGAGUGAUGAGGGAUGGGGACUCGCUCGGAAACAAAAGAGUCAGCUUGUCGGUUAUCUCGAGAGAGUAUCGGUGAGCUGUCGAUCGUCAAUUAUUCUUUCAAAUUAAUCCGGGGCCCUGACGUCGGGGCCCACCUAUUAUAACCAAUGACUCGUUUCUCCACCUUUUACUGCGGAAACUGCAUUUUAAAGAGGACACCGAGAGCGCGCUUUCAAUUUUUACGCCAAAUUAUCCGACAGAUGGCGCUGGGUGUUUGGGCGAUUUUUAUCUUAUCCCAUGACAUAUAUUCACUGAUGCACUUUUCAGGUGAAACUUUUUUUUUUUUUUAAUGGGAAUAUCGUUAGUUGCAAAUUUUAAUGGUGAUAUAUUUAAUUUGCUUGGCGCGACAAGCAGGCGGUGUUCGAGUAAAGCUGUAAAACUUUGCUGUAUUAAAUUUAUCUUGUGUAAAUAGCUACCGGCAUUUGUAUUCCGUAAUGGUUCCAUAACGCUAUCUCUGUUGAGGUUGCAGGCCGUUUCAAUUCUGGGUAAGCGAUCAUCUACAUGACCACAAUGUUAAUUCGACUAUGUAGCUAGUUCGUUGCUGUAAAAACAGUUAUUUACUUAUGUGCGUGAGGUAUAUGCUUAAGGGUCUUUUAAAGUCGUUUACGUAACGGCGAUAGUUCAUGGUUCUAAGAGGCCAGUCUUCGUUUGGCUGUCCUCUUAAAUAUUUUUUUUUUUUUUCCGGGUAAACACAAGUGUCAGGAUUUUUCUUUAAUGGUCGCCCUGCAAUUAAAUCAGGACGAUUUGUAAUUCGAUUCGAUCCAGCUGGCCACUGCUCGGGAUCCUUGGGUAUUUUGAGGCAAAAAACAGAGACCCAAGAAUUCUACGUGUUCUUACGAACCGUCCGACUCGGUCUUGGUGCUAUGAUGUUUGUCUUGUUACUUUUUUUAACUUUUUAUUUAUCUUUUCUUCUAGCCCCCUGCCACGAGAAUUCCGCGCGUCUCUGCGAUCUUUUGUCCCGGGAGCGUCGUUCGCGCAUUAAAAAUGUAUCAAUCUCGCAGGGCUUCUUCGCUCGUUCCGUGAGAGGGUCCUGCGAGUCGGAAUGUCCUUUAGGCGUCGUAAAGAAUAACAGUCCUAUGACAGUGGAAUCGAGAAAUGAGGAACGAUUGGAAUUUCGUUUUUCAUCGGUGAGACUGCAGAUCGAGACGAAGGAACGUUCGAAAAAUUCGAGAAUCACGUUUGGCGACUAACGCUGAAAGAAGUAAACGUUGAUCCUCAGAGCUGUGGACAGCGUGUACGGUGCCCAUUGAAAGUUCAGCAUCCUGAAGAAAUCCGAAUAUGGACGUCGUGAGCCCAAAGUGGAUGUGUCCAGAGACCCGUUGGGACCCCCGAAACGAGGAGCAAACAUCACUAAAGUGUCAGCAGCAUCACAAUUCGUAGGGGUCCGCUUGUUAGCGGCCCCAGGGCCGGCAAAAAGAGGCGCGCGAGUGCGAAUGCACGAGCAAAAAGCCGGUUCCACGCGUAGAAACAGGAGCAAAGAAAAAGAUGCCCGGCUGGUGCUGCGACGGUGGGUGCGAUCAGUGGGUCCCCUCGCUAUGAACAAAAGAGCGCAAGGGGGACCCAACUAAGUCCGUGGACCCCUCUCUCUCUCCUGCCGAGUCACCAAUGUUGGCAAUGCUCUUUGGCAGACGCCGACUCGCCUCGGUUAUCCCGAUUCGCUCGAUGUUUCGAUACAAAUUACACGAAGGACAUGGACACGGAACCCGAAGACGCCUCGAGUUCCAGUUCCAGUUCGUCAGGAUCAAGAAGACAGGAAGACUGAUGUUAUCAUCAGCUAGUGCUGCUCUCAUUUUUUUUUUUUUUUCUUUCAUUUCCGUAAUACAUUCAUUUCUUACGGUCGCACUGGGACUUUGUACGGUGCAUUAUUUUUGCAUACACGCAUAUCGUACCCUGUUACGCAAUCUAGUUCUACGCUUUUAUCUCGUCAGAUUGGCAGGCAUUAAUUAGUAUCUCUUUAAUCAGACUGACGCUAAUGCUAUCCUAGGUGAAUGGACUGGAGCACCAAGUGCCAUAAUACAAAACUGCAUAAUAAUCUGAGGCUGGUCAGGGACUCUGUAUGCAUAUGUUGUUCCUUGCUCUUGCCGUAUUAACAGCCAUCACUAAUACCUACCGUAGGACUCUAACUUGCAACUUAGUUAAACCGGCACUCGGGCUGUCUCCUUAUGGUAAUUCAGUAACCACUUAAUCAGUUGUUGCUUUCCCUGGGCUACAUAUGUUACUGUACGUAUGCACCUACGCCUAACGGUCUCUACUAUACGGAACCGGCAAAUUGGAUGUGGACCUUUAAUAGAUUGUAAAGGCGUAUCGCUGUCUUUUUCUUUUUUCGUUCUCAAGUCGCCGGAUCACUCACUCGUUAGGCGGCAAGAGUGGAACGCCUUGACGAGGGCCACGACGACGUGCCAGUGGAAAUUGACUUUAACGAGAAUCCGCGGAUACCAGGCAGAGAGUAAAUUCUUGUAUCUCUUUUUUUUUUAAUUCGAAGCCUCCAUCGCCUCGUUCGCUCAUUUCAUGAUGGAAGGGUGGCGAGAGGUGGGUAAGUGGACAAAAAAAUGUUGAUGUACUAAUUAUAAUUCUUUAGGUGUAGAUAUCACGUGAAAAAUUGAAGACGAAUAGAAAAAUCGGAUGUGGUCACAAGAUGCAGGUACAUAGGGCGAUAAGGUCCUCGGCACAGGGUACGAUGAUACGGUGGCUUGGAAGUUCAAGAAAUGGACAAUUCUGUUUUACUAAAUAAAACGUAUGGUCUUUAUACGUAUUCAUGUAUAGAUAUACCUGGCUAUAUCCCUACGUCGGAAUUAAGCGAACCAAACAGAUUGGCUCGGAGAAGAGGUAAUAGAGGCUAAACGGUGGCGGCACCUUGAUAUGCAAACUGAGGAAUUUCUGCGCACGGGGACGAUUCAGAUGGUCAUUGAGAAUGGCCGUUUGGUACAGCGCAGCUUCCCACUUUGUAAAUCGACGCGAUCCCUAAUUGUCUCGUUGGUCCAUGGGGCAAAAAAGUGCAGCGCUCGCACAAGAAAAAGGAAAGGAACCCAGCGGAACCUGCGGGACUUUCGGAGCUCGCGGAAUGCCGUGCCGGAACGCAUUCAAAUCGCCGCCGCUUCGUUUUGCGUCCGUGGAUUGACGUUGAGGGAUGACACGUUCCUGAGGAGAAGGCAUCAAGGGCCUCGGGCCUGUCGUAUCGUGAGAGCCUUCCACUCCGGACGCGGAAUCGGCAUUGGCCGUUCUACGGCCAGUCCGCUGUAUGGCAACGAGAGAAAUGAGCUUGGAUGGAACCGAGAAUUUUUGCCGGGCUGCCUUUUCGCCGCUUUCGUGAAUCGCUUGACGAUCGUGCCGAGAAUUGCAUCGUUGGGAUGCAAGAGGGUGAAUGCAUUUUGUGCAGUGCAAUCGGAGCAAUGUUUAUUCCGAUGAAAAUAUAUUAUUUACAGUUGCAUAGAUUUUUUUUAAUCAAAUUAUACAGCAUUAGGUGAGACUUUGUUUACGUGAUUUUUGAAAUCUUGAAGAAUGAAAAUUUUAUUAUGGCUGCCCGUAACUUAGGAAAAUUCAAAAAGGAGUGACUUUUUAGGAGAAUUUUUGGAUAUUCUUUCUUAAAUGCCAUUUUGGAGCAAUCGGAAAAAAAAAAGAAAAGGAACGGAACUCGUACGUGUCAGAGAGUGAUGGAAGAGCGCAACUUAUGCAUACCGUGUAAGUGACACGCAUGAAUAAUUCAUUCUAAUAAAAUAAUGCAGCCCCUGGACUCUCUUGGUUUCUAAGCAAAAAACCAUCGGAAUGGCCGAUCGCACCGAACCUAGCGACACUUCGUUUUUUUUUGUCCUUUUAUCUUAUUUCUUUCAUUUCUUACGCGCGGAGAAACUGCCGCACUUUUUUCGUAGGGCCUAUUCGAAACCAUUUUAAAUCAUUGUGAAUCCUUCGGGUUGGUACUGACGUUAUUUAACGUAGUAUUAUUUUACAUCGCUGUAUCUAUUUAUACUCAAUAUUUUUUACAACGAGCGAACGUUAUCGACCGUCUACUCUGUCGCAACUGCAAUCGUUUCACUUAUUACGUAAUAGCAAAGAAAUGUUUACCAGGAUAUAAGAUUUCAGAAAAAUUCAUAAUUCAAAACGGCUUUACGUCAUUCAGGAUCAAAUACUUUAUGUUCCGUUGUAAUUUUAUCGCAUACU